UAUCUGUCAAAUGUACGGUUAAAGGGUUAUUUCGCAUUUUUUGCCGAUCCGCACACAUUGAAAUUUCGCUAACUCCUCCGAAGGCUUUCGUUCCACCGGCACCACAUUUGCUCAGGCCAAUCUACACCCCAUGGCCAUCGAAAGUUGUACAAAUCAUGACGCUGCACCCCACGGUUUAGGUUCUAGGGGGCGCCAAAGAUUACCAAAAAAUCCACAUUCUUAAAAGUCUUAUAACUUUUUAUUUUUUUCCUCACUGGCCUCCAAAUUCUCUAGGAUGAUGCAAUGUUCAGCCAUCAACACAUUUGUGAAGGAAUUUUUACUCCCCAAAAGAGCGCCCCCACAUGGCAGGAGAAAAAAGGCAAUUUUUUCUUGUCCCCUAAGGUGAAAAUACACAUUGUUGACUGUCACGCCUGUACGCUUUGUCAUAUUGACACAAAAAUUGACACACACAUGUAUCUCAAUAAGAUCUACGAAAAAGUCAAUGGGCACGUAUCCGUAAAAUGUACGGUUAAAGGGCUAUUUUGCAUUUUUUGCUGAUUCGCACACAUUGGAAUGUGGCUAACUCGUCCUACAGCUUUCGUCCCACUGACACCAAAUUUGCUCAGGCCAAUCUACACCCCAUGGCCAUUCAAAGUUGUAAAAAUCAUGACGCUGCACCCCACGGUUUACGUUCUAGGGGGCGCCAAAGAUGACCCAAAUAUCCACAUUCUUAAAAGAAUCCACAUCCCCCCCCCCCCCCCAUCCCCCAUCCCCCAUGGCAGGAGAAACAGUCAAGUUUUUCCUGCCCAUCACUCAAUGGCUCAAUCGCAUCGCUCUCCCGGCAACACCGUAACGAGGAGCAACUUGCCGUUUGGAUAUAUCCUAGCUGUGUUUGUGCCCUCACUCAUGGUCCAGACUUUUUUCAAAUAGGACAUGUAGUUUGUCUGCAGCGAGUGUUUUGGUAGAAACUGCGCCUCCCAUUCAUUUUAAUGGAAAAUGACCACAGACAAGUGCGCACACCAUCGUUGGACCUUGAGUGUGACGCGAUCGGGAGGGGGAGGCGGUCGCGCUGGGGGCGGCGCAACGCGGCUCGGGCCCGACAGUGCCCCACCGGGGCCCUAGUCUUUCGUUAUUUUUCCUCCGCUUUAAACUGGAAAAUGGCCCACUUCCCACUGGCGAAAACUCAGGAAAUUUGGCAGGACGACCGGGCCUGGUGAAAAAUUUGAUAUUCUGAAGUCGCCCAAACAAAAAAAUGAAAAAUGGCUCCAUAGCGCCCCCUAUGGUGAAAACUCACCUGACGCCUGUACGCUUUGUCAAAAUGACACAAAAUUUGACACACAUGUGUAUCUCAAUAAGAUCUACAAAAAAGUCAGUGCGGGCGUAUCUGUCAAAUGUACGGUUAAAGGGCUAUUUGCAUUUUUUGCCGAUCCGCACACAUUGGAAUUUCGCUAACUCCUCCGAAGGCUUUCGUUCCACCGGCACCAAAUUUGCUCAGGCCAAUCUACACCCCAUGGCCAUUCAAAGUUGUACAAAUCAUGACGUUGCACCCCACGGUUUAUGUUCUAGGGGGCGCCAAAGAUAACCCAAAAAUCCACAUUCUUAAAAGUCUUAUAACUUUUUAUUUUUGUCCUCACUGGCCUCCAAGUUUUCUAGGAUGAUGCUAUGUCCAGCCAUCAACACAUGUGUGAAGGAAUUUUUACUCCCCAAAAGAGCGCCCCCCCAUGGCAGGAGAAAAAAGUCCAUUUUUUCUUGUCCCCUAAGGUGAAAAUACACAUUGUUGAGUGUCACGCCUGAACUCUUUGUCAUAUUGACACAAAAAUUGACAAUCAUGUGUAUCUCAAUUAGAUCUACGAAAAAGUCAAAGAGCGCGUAUCUGUAUAAUGUACGGUAAAAGGGCUAUUUUGCAUUUUUUGCCGAUCCGCACACAUUGGAAUUUCGCUAACUCCUCCGAAGGCUUUCGUUCCACCGGCACCAAAUUUGCUCAGGCCAAUCUACACCCCAUGGCCAUUACAAGUUGUAAAAAUCAUGACGCUGCACCCCAUGGUUUAGGUUCUAGGGGGCGCCAAAGAUAACCCUAAAAUCCAAAUAUUUAAAAGUCUUAUAACUUUUUAUUUUUGUCCUCACUGGCCUCCAAGUUUUCUAGGAUGAUGCAAUGUCCAGCCAUCAACACAUUUGUGAAGGAAUUUUUACUCCCCAAAAGAGCGCCCCCCCAUGGCAGGAGAAAAAAGUCAAUUUUUUCUUGUCCCCUAAGGUGAAAAUACACAUUGUUGAGUGUCACGCCUGAACUCUUUGUCAUAUUGACACAAAAAUUAACAAUCAUGUGUAUCUCAAUUAGAUCUACGAAAAAGUCAAAGAGCGCGUAUCUGUAUAAUGUACGGUAAAAGGGCUAUUUUGCAUUUUUUGCCGAUUCGCACACAUUGGAAUUUCGCUAACUCCUCCGAAGGCUUUCGUCCCACUGACACCAUAGUUGCUCAGGCCAAUCUACAACCCAUGGCCAUUCAAAGUUGUACAAAUCAUGACGCUGCACCCCACGGUUUAGGUUCUAGGGGGCGCCAAAGAUAACCCAAAAAUCCACAGUCUUAAAAGUCUUAUAACUUUUUAUUUUUGUCCUCACUGGCCUCCAAGUUUUCUAGGAUGAUGCAAUGUCCAGCCAUCAACACAUUUGUGAAGGAAUUUUUACUCCCCAAAAGAGCGCCCCCCCAUGGCAGGAGAAAAAGUCAAGUUUUUCCUGCCCAUCGCUCAAUGGCUCAAACGCAUCGCUCUCUCGGCAAAACCGAAAGGAGGAGCAACUUGCCAUUUGGAUAUAUACUAGCUGUGUUUGUGCCCUCACUCAUGGUCCAGACUUUUUUCAAAAAGGACAUGGAGUUUGUCUGCAGCGAGCGUUUUGGUAGAAACUGCGCCUCCCAUUCAUUAUAAUGGUAAAUGACCACAGACAAGUGCGCACACCAUCUUUGGACCUUGAGUGUGACGCGAUCGGGAGGGGUAGGCGGUCGCACUGGGGGCGGCGCGACACGGCUCGGGCCCGCCAGUGCCCCACCGGGGCCCUAGUUCUUUCUCUCUUUCUUCUUUUUCCUCCCCUUUGAACUGGAAAAUGGCCCACUUCCCACUGGCGAAAACUCAUGAAAUUUGGCAGGACGACCGGGCCUGGUGAAAAAUUCGAUAUUCUGAAGUCGCCCAAACAAUAAAAUGCAAAAUGGCUCCAUAGCGCCCCCUAAGGUGGAAAUUCACACUAUUGACUGUCACGCCUGUACGCUUUGUCAUAUUGACACAAAAAUUGACACACAUAUGUAUCUCAAUAAGAUCUACAAAAAAGUCAGUGCGGCCGUAUCUGUCAAAAUUACGGUUAAAGGGUUAUUUCGCAUUUUUUGCCGAUCCGCACACAUUGGAAUUUCGCUAACUCCUCCGAAGGCUUUCGUUCCACCGGCACCACAUUUGCUCAGGCCAAUCUACACCCCAUGGCCAUUAAAAGUUAUUCAAAUCAUGACGCUGCACCCCACGGUUUAGGUUCUAGGGGGCGCCAAAUAUAACACUAAAAUCCACAUAUUUAAAAGUCUUAUAACUUUUUAUUUUUGUCCUCACUGGCC